AUUUUAUGUUUAGUCUCUACACCCAACGUGGGACUCGAACCCACAACCCCGAGAUCAAGUCGCAUGCUCCACCGACUGAACCAGCCAGGCGCCCAAAGGUUGCGGUGCUUCUUAAUCCCUAAUCUGUGUUGAUGCUUCUCUCAAGUCAAGUGGAGAUGACCUUUGCUUCUUGGCUCCUACCUCUGCUUUUCCAAAUCAUACACGGAUGUAGUUCCAAGGUGAAAACAAGCUUCCUACAUUGUAGUUCCAUUAUGAAGAAAGGGUUCCAGGAUAAUACCAGCAGUGCCCGCCAGCUGAAGACCACCGGGAACACACUCGUUCAGCUUGAGUGGAACAAGGAAUGUACGGGCGGGCAAACUCGUAAACAAUGUGUCAAACAAGACAUGUGAACUUUCCCCGAUCGAUCGAAUACUGAGAUGAACACAUAAAAGUGUACAGUGGGCACAAUUCAGAAAUCAAGAGUCAUAAAGAGACCUUCACCCUUUCUACCCAAUGGUACUUUUACACCAAGGAGAAACAUUUAUACUGCAGUGAAUCUGUAAUGUGUAUUUUGAGAGGUGUGUCCCAGCAGGAGAAACACAGUGACCGAGAGGCAGCAAGACUAGUGAAGAGAGGAUUGUGCGCCGUGGUCCUGUUGAUCAGUAACUCAGCCAAAAAGUACUUAGUAUGUCCUGGAUACUAGAGGAGAAACUGAGGAGGUGACAGCACAAAUGCUUAUCCCUGGCCUCAGGAAACUAGGGACUUGCCUGAUGGACAAAUUUACAAACUCAGUAAAGAAAAAAAAAAGUGUAAUGAUAAAGGAAGUAGAGAGCGCUUAGAGGAGCACAGAGAAGCAGGCAAUUUCAUGUUGGAAGGUCAGUGGAGGGUUUUCUGGAGGAGAUACUUGUGCUGCAAGACAAGGAUGAUGUUGCCAUGCAUUCUUUACUCACUGUUUAAACUGUGUUAUUUCAACCAGGUCUAAGCAUUAAUUCACUUCUAUUAGCUUCAGUAACAUUUUCCAGGCGAUUUUAUCAUGACAGCUGGUUAUUUUGCAGAUUGGUCUCUUACAGACUUGAGACCAAUCGACCUUGAAACAAGAGCAUGAAAACAACGGAAUGUAGAGUAUUUGGACUUUUAAGUUGUUUCAUAACUACAGAAUGAAAUAUAUGGACUGAAAUAUAUAUUACAUAUGUAUUUUUUUCAGUUUACGUAUGAUUAGACUGUAUUCUGCCCGCACCAUUGAUUGUCCAUAUCAACAUUAAAAAUUUUUUUUAGAGAUUUUCUUUUCUUUUUUUUUUUUUCAACGUUUAUUUAUUUUUGGGACAGAGAGAGACAGAGCAUGAACGGGGGAGGGGCAGAGAGAGAGGGAGACACAGAAUCGGAAACAGGCUCCAGGCUCCGAGCCAUCAGCCCAGAGCCCGACGUGGGGCUCGAACUCACGGACCGCGAGAUCGUGACCUGGCUGAAGUCGGACGCUUAACCGACUGCGCCACCCAGGCGCCCCAAGAGAUUUUAUUUUCAAGUAAUCUCUUCACCCAACAUGGGACUCGAACUCACAACCCCAAGAUCAAGAGUUGCAUGCUCUACCGACUGAGCCAGCUGGCACCACUUUGUCAACAUUGUUUAAACUAGGUUUUAAGUUCCAAGGAACAACAGCAAAAAAAAAAAAAAACAAAAAAAAAAAAAAAAAAAAAACAAAAAAAAAAACCCAACGUGGCUAAUAAGUUACUCUGAGCUAUCAAAUUAUUCUGGAAGACAAAUGAAGAUAGCGGGCUUUAACAUGAAUUUAGUGGAAGAAAUCAAAAUAAAAUAAAUCUCAAAACCA
ensembl:lncRNA